AUACUCCUCCUUUGUCUGGCAUUAAAGAUCCAAAAAGAAAAAUUCAAACUUGACCAAAUGUAAACAGCGAAGAACUAAUAUUCAUUAAUUGGCCCAGAAGGAAUUCAAUAUAACAAGAGAUCAUCGAAGAACCUAUUUCCAUUGGAAUAUUAACUAUUGAAAGUUCCAUGGGCCAAUUUUGUAAAUUAUUCGAAUUUCUCAGCGCAUUUAAAAACAAAAGGAUGUAUUUUUAUUGAUGUCUGGACACAUAUACAUGAAACUUAAUUAAUUAUUUUUGACCCAUCUUAUACUUUUUAUCAGAGUGGAUAUGUUCCUGUUAUACAUCAGUUUAUCAUUUUUCAUUAGCUCUGUGGUUGGUUACUCGGAAUCGGUAAAAUGAAAACUCGCAUGGCAAAGAAUAUUAUACGUGAUUUGAAUUAGAAGUAUGAUAAAUCGGACUUAAUAAAAACCUUAGAAGUGUCUCAUACUUUGAAAGAUUAUGUACCUUUCGCAGCAGAAUCGGCUUUUCACCUUUUUUAUUUUCUAUUUUAUUCUCAAGGAAGAUAUUUUAUAGUUUUUUAUCACUUUCAAUCAAUUAUUAUGUAUAUGACUUACUUAAUAAUAUAACUAUUUAGUUCCUUCUGUCCAAAUUUAUUAGCUUUAAUAUAUAAUGUAUAGCAUUA
rnacentral:lncRNA from 1 species